rnacentral:rRNA from 1 species
GAUGAACGCUGACAGAAUGCUUAACACAUGCAAGUCGAUUCGAUUUACCUUCGGGUAUUGAGGAUGGCGGACGGGUGAGUAACGCGUAAGGAACUUGCCUCUUGGUCUGGGACAACUGUUGGAAACGACAGCUAAUACCGGAUAUUAUGAGAUUCUCGCAUGGGAAACUUAUGAAAGCUAUAUGCGCCAAGAGAGAGCCUUGCGUUCCAUUAGCUAGUUGGUGGGGUAACGGCCCACCAAGGCGACGAUGGAUAGCCGGCCUGAGAGGGUGAACGGCCACAAGGGGACUGAGACACGGCCCUUACUCCUACGGGAGGCAGCAGUGGGGAAUAUUGGACAAUGGGCCACAAGCCUGAUCCAGCAAUUCUGUGUGCACGAUGAAGGUCUUCGGAUUGUAAAGUGCUUUCAGUUGGGAAGAAGAAAGUGACGGUACCAACAGAAGAAGCGACGGCUAAAUACGUGCCAGCAGCCGCGGUAAUACGUAUGUCGCAAGCGUUAUCCGGAUUUAUUGGGCGUAAAGCGCGUCUAGGCGGAAAAAUAAGUCUGAUGUUAAAAUGCGGGGCUCAACUCCGUAUUGCGUUGGAAACUGUUUUUCUAGAGUACUGGAGAGGUGGGCGGAACUACAAGUGUAGAGGUGAAAUUCGUAGAUAUUUGUAGGAAUGNCGAUGGAGAAGUCAGCUCACUGGACAGAUACUGACGCUAAAGCGCGAAAGCNUGGGGAGCAAACAGGAUUAGAUACCCUGGUAGUCCACGCCGUAAACGAUGAUCACUAGG